rnacentral:rRNA from 1 species
UACAGGGGGUGCAAACGUUGCUCGGAAUCAUUGGGCGUAAAGCGCACGUAGGCGGUCUGUUAUGUCGGAUGUGAAAGCCCUUGGCUUAACUGAGGAAGUGCAUCCGAAACUGGCAGGCUAGAGUACUAAAGAGGGUCGCGGAAUUCCCAGUGUAGUGGUGAAAUACGUAGAGAUUGGGAAGAACACCAGUGGCGAAGGCGGCUAUCUGGACGGUUUCUGACACUAAGACUCGAAAGCGUGGGGAGCAAACAGGG